AGUGAACGCUGGCGGUAGGCCUAACACAUGCAAGUCGAACGGCAGCACAGUAAGAGCUUGCUCUUACGGGUGGCGAGUGGCGGACGGGUGAGGAAUACAUCGGAAUCUACUUUUUCGUGGGGGAUAACGUAGGGAAACUUACGCUAAUACCGCAUACGACCUACGGGUGAAAGCAGGGGAUCUUCGGACCUUGCGCGCUUCAAUGAGCAGCUGUCGGAUUAGCUAGUUGGCGGGGUAAAGGCCCACCAAGGCGACGAUCCGUAGCUGGUCUGAGAGGAGGAUCAGCAACACGGGAACUGAGACACGGUCCAGACUCCUAGGGGAGGAAGCAGUGGGGAUUAUUGGACAAUGGGCGCAAGCCUGCUCCAGAAAUACCGCGUGGGUAAAGAAGGCUUUCGGGUUGUAAAGCCUGUUUGUUGGGAAAGAAAAGCAGCAGGUUAAUACCCCGCUGUUCUGACGGUACCCAACGAAUAAGCACCGGCUAACUUCGUG
rnacentral:rRNA from 1 species